rnacentral:rRNA from 1 species
ACAGGUGCUGCAUGGCUGUCGUCAGCUCGUGUCGUGAGAUGUUGGGUUAAGUCCCGCAACGAGCCGCAACCCCUAUCCUCAGUUGCCAUCAUUAAGUUGGGCACUCUGUGGAGACUGCCGGUGUCAAACCGGAGGAGGGUGGGGAUGACGUCAAGUCCUCAUGGCCCUUAUGACCAGGGCUACACACGUGCUACAAUGGCCGGUACAAAGAGUUGCGAUACCGCGAGGUGGAGCUAAUCUCAUAAAGCCGGUCUCAGUUCGGAUUGGAGUCUGCAACUCGACUCCAUGAAGUUGGAAUCGCUAGUAAUCGCGGAUCAGCAUGCCGCGGUGAAUACCGGUUCCCGGGCCUU